rnacentral:rRNA from 1 species
GAUGAACGCUGGCGGCGUGCUUAACACAUGCAAGUCGAACGGAAAGGCUCCUGCUUGCAGGGGUACUCGAGUGGCGAACGGGUGAGUAACACGUGGGUGAUCUGCCCUGCACUUCGGGAUAAGCCUGGGAAACUGGGUCUAAUACCGGAUAGGACGAUGGUUUGGAUGCCAUUGUGGAAAGUUUUUCGGUGUGGGAUGAGCUCGCGGCCUAUCAGCUUGUUGGUGGGGUAAUGGCCUACCAAGGCGUCGACGGGUAGCCGGCCUGAGAGGGUGUACGGCCACAUUGGGACUGAGAUACGGCCCAGACUCCUACGGGAGGCAGCAGUGGGGAAUAUUGCACAAUGGGCGCAAGCCUGAUGCAGCGACGCCGCGUGGGGGAUGACGACCUUCGGGUUGUAAACUCCUUUCGCUAGGGACGAAGCGCAAGUGACGGUACCUGGAGAAGAAGCACCGGCUAACUACGU